CAACGAGUCUCCCUGUAUACCCCACAAUAGCAAGCUUUCAUUCAUGGCUACCCAACUCUUCUUCAUUCAAACUCCCGACCCUUCUCGCCCACUUGUGAAAUUCCUAUAAAACUCCCAUAUAAUCCCUCUUUUUGCACUUCCACCCCUCACCAUCUCUUGUGGUUUAUGCUCCCUCAAGACUGUUUCAAGCUCCAAAGCUCGAUCAUCAUCAAUUGUUCACGCUGUGCAAGAAGAAGAAGUUAUUCAAGCUCCAAAUUCAGAUUCCUCAACUGCCCCUCCUUCGUCUUCCAAGCUUGUUCUUGUUGCUGGCGGCACUGUUGGUGGGAAGGGUCCGGAAACGAUCCCCAGAAAUGGCAACAACUGUUUAAAGCUGCCGAUGAUCAGCCUCAGAAUGUAUCAUUGGAUUCAAGAGAUUAUGAUAUAUACAAAAAUAAGGCUUGUAAGUUCUGCACAUUAUGAUAAAUAUUGUACACAUUAUAUAAGGUUUGUGAUGGUAAACAGGGACAAAGCCAGGAUAUUUAUAUUGGGGGACCUCAAUGUAAUGUUCAAUCAAUAACGGGUUUAAAGAA